CACUGUAAAAAAAAUCUGUAAAAUAACAGUUAAAUGACUGUAUAUUUUAACAGAUUUUUUCCGUAUACACGUAUUACGGGUGUUUUUCCGUUUAUAUACAUUUUCGAAUUGCAUUGUGGGAAGGGGAUCGCAGCUCAGACAGCGUUUGAUGGACACCGGGACAUAUUUCUUCCUCUGUUUUUUCCCUGUUGUUUGUCCGUAUUUUUCUAAACUGCCGUGCGCGGGAAGUGGCGUGACGUCCAAUCACCCACUCACUCCCUCUGCACCUGACUGGAUUAACGGUAAACGUCAGUUUGUCUGUAAGAGUGUAAAAGGUGUGUUGGUGUAAAAAUUGAUGCUGACUGAACUCAGGCAGUUGUGCUGGACCCUCUGUACCUUAUACAGGAGAUGACAGUAAACUUUCAAGUUUAAGAGGUAAAAUGUUCAGAAUGUGUUUGCUCUUUCAGAACUCAGGCAGUUGUGCUGGACCCUCUGUACCUUAUACAG
ensembl:processed_transcript